rnacentral:rRNA from 1 species
GGCCACAGCCUUAUCACCCUGCAGCCCAAUACCAGUUAUUUGCAGAAGCUAAGCAGGGCUGAGCCUGGUCAGUACCUGGAUGGGUGACCACAUGGGAAAACUAGGUUGCUGUUGGAA